AAAUUAUUUAUAAAAAUAGAUUGCUAUUUGAUGCAUUUAACCCUAUUAUUUCUUGCAAAUUUCACUUUUUAGCGAAGGAGAGAGCGUUCGUUCAGAAGAAUCGCCAUUGCUGGCGAUGGCUAAAAUGGGUUAUCGGGGUGACCGAAUUCGCGUCCUCUUUCACGCGUCUACUCUGCUAUUCGAUAUAGGGUUUCGCUGAAUGUCACAGAGGAUGAGUUUUCUCCACCGACUUUUGACGUAAUAUCUCUCCGACGACUUACGUAUAAGUUUCCACGAAAUUUAUGGAUCUAGAGUUUUGUGUAAUGUGCAGGGUGGUCUCUAUAACCCCAGAUAUGAAUCAAUCAGCGUGGAAAGGCUUUCCCAUGUUCAUUUCAUACCGGACUAGACUGAAACACCGACCUUCAGAGAGACUAGUUUGUAUGCCUUAUUUAAGGUACAUGACUUCAUUUUGACACAUGCGCAGUUAGUUAUUUAUUCUUGUGUUGUUUUACUAAGUUGUACUGUAUUCGUUCUAUAAUUAGAUGUUGAUUGUGAUUUUUGAGGUCA